rnacentral:piRNA from 1 species
UACAAGUCCAAGAGGUUCAAGUCUCCGGG